CCUACGGGCGGCAGCAGUGGGGAAUAUUGCGCAAUGGGCGAAAGCCUGACGCCGCGACGCCGCGUGAGGGAUGAAGGUCUUCGGAUCGUAAACCUCUGUCAGCAGGGAAGAACGGUCACUGUGCUAAUCAGCAGUGAAUUGACGGUACCUGCAAAGGAAGCACCGGCUAACUCCGUGCCAGCAGCCGCGGUAAUACGGAGGGUGCGAGCGUUAAUCGGAAUUACUGGGCGUAAAGCGCUCGUAGGCGGUAUGUCAAGUCAAGGGUGAAAUCCCCGCGCUCAACGUGGGAACUGCCUUUGAAUAUGGAAAAUUGGAGUGUGUGAGAGGAUAGUGGAAUUCCAGGUGUAGGAGUGAAAGCCGUAGAAAUCUGGAGGAACAUCAGUGGCGAAGGGGACUAUCUGGCACAUAACUGACGCUGAGGAGCGAAAGCGUGGGUAGCAAACAGGAUUAGAUACCCGGGUAGUC
rnacentral:rRNA from 1 species